rnacentral:rRNA from 1 species
UACGAAGGGGGCUAGCGUUGUUCGGAAUUACUGGGCGUAAAGGGCGCGUAGGCGGCCACCGCAAGUCGACUGUGAAAUCUCCGGGCUUAACUCGGAAAGGUCAGCCGAUACUGCGGGGCUAGAGUGCAGAAGGGGCAACUGGAAUUCUCGGUGUAGCGGUGAAAUGCGUAGAUAUCGAGAGGAACACCUGCGGCGAAGGCGGGUUGCUGGGCUGACACUGACGCUGAGGCGCGAAGGCGUGGGGAGCGAACGGG